ACAACAUUUGGACCGUCGGCCCACCGAGCAAUGUCACCCGCUCGGUGGAAGAUCUUUCCUCCGUCGU
rnacentral:pre_miRNA from 1 species